rnacentral:tRNA from 1 species
AAAUAAGAAGCAAAUUUUGCAUUUAGUUUCGACCUAAAAAUUUGAUAUUCUAAGUAUCCUUAUUUA